ACAAAAUACAUGUAUGGGAAAAAAUUCAACUUGAUCCCACAAGGUUAAGGGCUCGAUCCGGACAGUCAAUCCCGUAAGUCAAACCCCUAAACGCACUGAAACGGUCAUUGGACCGUCUAAAUUGCGUAUUUUGGCCUGACCUUCAACUGAAAAUAGUUUCAAAUCGAUGAGAUGCAACGAGUCGUAUAAAAAUUUUACGGAAAAUAAGCACCGAAGAUAGGGCUACCCAUAAGGAGAAAGAAUGAAAAAUUGCAUUGACCGCAACUAUCGGCACCGAGACUUUACCGGAAUACCGUGAUUUUUCAAUUGUAGACGUAUUUCACUAUUUUGGUCAUAUCUUAUUUCAUGACUUUUUUGCUUUUGAAGGUUCUACGUAUAGUUUUUUUUGAAACAGAACAUUUACUUAACACGGUAAACAAGUUAUACAACAUUAGUAGGCAUUUUGUGAUUAUGAUGAUCAAACUUGAGAAAAGAAAAUCCUACAAUCAGAUCUGACCAUCAUGACAAAAUAAAUGUAUGGGAAAAAAUUCAACUUGAUCCCACAAGGUUAAGGGCUCGAUCCGGACGGUCAAUCCCGUAAAUCAAAUCCCUAAACACACGGAAACGGUCAUUGGACCUUCUAAAUUACGUAUUUUCGACGGACCUUCAACUGAAAAUAGUUUCAAUUCGAUGAGACACAACGAGUCGUAUAAAAAUUUUACUGAAAAUAAGCACCGAAGAUAGAGCUACCCAUAAGGAGAAAGAAUGGAAAAUUGCAUUGACCGCAACUAUCGGCACCGAGACUUUAUCGGAAUACCGUGAUUUUUCACUCGUAGACGUAUUUCACCAUUCUGGUCAUAUCUUAUUUCACGACUUUUAUGCGUUUGAAGGUUCUAUGUAUAGUUUUUUUGAAACGGAAUAUUUACUUAACACUAGGUAAACAAGUUAUACAACAUUAGUAGGCAUUUUGUGAUUGUGAUGAUCAAACUUGAGAAAAGAAAAUUCGACCGUCAGAUCAGAAAUACAUGACAAAAUACAUGAAAAUCCGACCGUCAUUUUGUGACCAUCAUGACAAAAUACAUGUAUGGGGAAAAAUUCAACUUGAUCCGACAAGGUUAAGGGCUCGAUCCGGACGGUCAAUCCCAUAAGUCAAACCCCUAAACAAACGGAAACGGUCAUUGGACCUUCUAAAUUACGUAUUUUUGCCGGACCUUCAACUGAAAAUAGUUUCAAAUCGAUGAGACGUAAGGAGUCGUAUAAAAAUUUUAUGGAAAAUAACCACAAAAGAUAGGACUACCCAUAAGGUGAAAGAAUUUGAAUAAAAUUCGUCGCCUAAUAUUCCUAAGGCGACGGAAAAUCCACUUUCCGUCGCUUAGGAUACAGAAAAUAUAAAAUUUUAUGUUACUUAGGCGACGGAAAUUGUAUAUGUCGUCGGCUUUGUAAACCAAUGCGACGGAAAAUACAUUUUCCGUCGUCUAGGAUCCCAAAAUAUUAGGCGGGUGAAUUUUGCGCCUUUUUUCCCCCCUGAAAUUUCGUAUUACUCAAGACACGAAUUAGUAACUAUGCGACGAAACCUAAUUUAAAACCUAUACUAACUCCCUCGCGCAAUCCACAAUCCCUAAUUAAAUUCACACCCACAAUUCCCAAUUCCCACCAGAGUCGCGCCACCAGACCCCAUCCACGCAUCGACCACCGAUUAAAGUGUGCGCAUCCACCCACCUCCUCCACUCAGCGCCACCGCAUCCACCCGCCACUCCGAUCGAUCUCUCUGCUCUCACCUUCUCAUCGCCGCUACGAUCUCUCUGCUCUCACCUUCUCACCGUCGCUCCUUUUGCAGGUCCGUAUUCUCUCUCUUCUCAGAUUGAUCUUGCUUGUUACUUCUGAAUCGUAAACGAAUUCGUUGAUCGUGUUUCAUUAUU
rnacentral:lncRNA from 1 species